AAAUGAGGACUCUCUCAAAACCCUAACCGUUCAAGACACUUUUCUUUCUCGCCUCUCAUCUGUCAACUCUCAAGCUGCCAAGCACUCAUCUUCAGAUCUCCAGAGUUUAUACCUUUGUUCAUUGAUUUUAUUUGGUGAAGAUGACGGAGGACGCCGCUAAUUAAGACUGUGAAGAAGAAGCCAAGGAUAAAAUUCGGUUGCUACAAUUCUGGUUGCUAGAAGAAGAAGAAGAGAAGCAUCAUUUCUAUUUAUUUCUUUUUCUAAUAUUAGAGAAGAAAAGGAAAGGUAUCUUUUCAUCUCUUCUCCAUUUUGAGUUUUAUUUAUUUAUAUUUUCAAUUUCCUGCAAUUUAUGGCUGCACACUAAUUUACACACGUAGUCUUGCCUAGUAGGUUGUGAUUUGAAUUUAAUUUAUUUGGAAGUUUUGUUUUGAAUUUCGAUGCAUUAGUACAAAAUUGAGCUUGCUUUAAUAUGUUUUCUCUAUUUGGAUUUGUAGGCGUUUUAGAUAUUAUAGUUUUUGUUUCACUAGGAAGAUGAAAAGGACUACAACUGAAGUGGGUGAGCCAAAUCAUGGUACUCCAGUAUCACAACCCUCUAAUGUUACUUUGGUACCACAUGGACCUUCUCAAUCUUCUGUUAACUUGCAAAUAGGGAAUCAGAAUGAUGCUGACAUCACUUCCCAAUUUAAUAAAAGGGGCAAGGUUAAAUCAGCACCAUGUUGGACAAGUAAUUGGUUCAAAAUGUUGAUUAAAAAAAAAUUCCGAAUGGAAAACCUAGAGUUGAAUGCACCAAGUGUGGAUAGAUAUUUAUGGCUGACCCUGUCAAAAAUGGGACCACUGGCUUAAACAAUCACAUGAAAAGGUGUCCUAAACCUGAUAACAAGGACAUAAGCUAAAUGAUUUUGCAACCAUCUGAUGGGAAAGUGACUUUGAGGGAUUUGAAGAUUGACUCCAAUAUUGUGUGAUAUAUGGUUUUAACUUUGGUGCUAAGGAAUGAACUCCCUUUGAGAUUUGUGGAGUAUGAAGACUUCAAGAAAUUGAUGUUAUAUAUAUAUAUAUCCUGAUUACAUCCAUAUUUCUAGGAAUACUCUUUUAAGUGAUUUUCAUAAAGUGUUUAAGAGGGAGAAAAAAUUUAUUAGAGAGACAGUGAAAAGUUCUGCUGGGAGGGUGUCAACGACUACUGAUUUGUGGACCUCAAUCUCAAAUGAUGGAUAUAUGACACUCACAGCCAACUUCAUUGAUAAGACAUGGGUUUGCAUAAGAAGUUGAUAAAGUUUUAUUUAUUGUAACCUCUACACAUGGGUUCAAAUAUUUGUGAAGCAAUGAGCAAAAUUUUGAUUGAGUGGGGCGUUGAAGAAAGACUGUUUUAGGUAACGGUAGAUAAUGCAAGUGCCAAUGAUGUGGGAAUCGGUUAUUUAAAAUUAACUUUGAAUGCAAAGAAUGCAUUGGUUUGUAAGGGAGAAUUUUUUUCAUGUUCAUUGUUGCUCAUAUCUUGAAGCUUAUAGUCCAAGAUGGUAUCAAAUUCAUUGAUGCAUCUGUCCAAAAGGUUCGAGAUAGUAUCAAAUAUGUUAAAAGCUCACAAGUUAGGAAGAUAAGGUUCCAAGAAUGUUGUGAGCGCUUGGGAAUGACCACCAGUAGGGGCUUGCAUGGAGAUGUAACUACACGUUGGAAUUCAACCUUCCAAAUGUUUAGUGAUGCUUUGCAUUAUCGGCUAGCAUUUGACACUCUGGGUUAUUCAGAUUCGACUUUCAAAUUUGGCCCUACCAUAGAUGACUGGAAAGGAUCUCAGAAAUUUUUAAGUUGUUGAAGCCAUUUGAUGAUGUCACAAAGGUUCUCUCAGGUUCGAAGUAUCCAACUUCAAACUUAUAUUUCCCAAUUGUGGUGCUCAUUCAUCAAUCUCUACAUGAUGAAUCUAUCUUAGAUGAAUAUAUGGAAGAUAUGAUACAUGCUAUGAGAGAAAAGUUCAAUAAGUAUUGGGAAAAAUAUUCAUUGAUUUUAGCAAUUGCUGUUGUUUUGGAUCCUCAUUACAAGUUAACGGUUGUUAAAUGGGCAUUUAGUAAUAUCCAUGAGGGAGAUACCGUCUCAAUGACAAAAGCUAUUGGUCAUGUGAAAGGAGCUUUCGAUAAACUUUAUGGGGAAUAUAAGAGCAUGCCCAAAGAACAAGGGUCUUCGACUGUUUGUGGUGGUGAAGAUUGAGAACCUUACUUGGAGGAUUUUCUUAGUUUUAGUAGGAAGGAGAAAAUCGAAAGCAAUGGAAAGUCUAAGUUGAAGUUCUAUCUUGAAGAGCCAAAGAAACCGUGGAUCAAAGAUUAUGAUGUUCUUGCAUAUUGGAAGGCAAGUGAGGACCAAUAUCCUGACUUGGCUCGGAUGGCACAUGAUAUAUUGCCAAUUCCUAUAUAUCCACAGUUGCAUCUGAAUCAGCAUCUAGUGUUGGGGGUAGGGUUAUUGAUAAAUACUGAAGUAGGUUGCUACCUUCGAAUGUUGAAGCUUUGGUAUGUGUUUGAGAUUUUAAAUGUAACCGCAAGCAUACGGAUCAGUGUAACUAUGGGUCGAACUCGGGGAGAGCAGCCACUUUAUUUUUUUUUUCU